rnacentral:miRNA from 1 species
UCGCUUGGUGCAGGUCGAGAA